rnacentral:rRNA from 1 species
GAUGAACGCUAGCGAUAGGCCUAACACAUGCAAGUCGAGGGGCAUCACAUGAGGCAGCAAUGCCGAUGGUGGCGACCGGCGCACGGGUGAGUAACACGUAUGCAACCUGCCUUCAACAAGGGGAUAACCCGUUGAAAAACGGACUAAUACCCUAUAACACAGGGGUCCCGCAUGGGAAUAUUUGUUAAAGGACAACCGGUUGAAGAUGGGCAUGCGUUCCAUUAGCUAGUUGGCGGGGUAACGGCCCACCAAGGCAACGAUGGAUAGGGGAACUGAGAGGUUUAUCCCCCACACUGGUACUGAGACACGGACCAGACUCCUACGGGAGGCAGCAGUGAGGAAUAUUGGUCAAUGGACGCAAGUCUGAACCAGCCACGUCGCGUGAAGGAAGACGGCCCUACGGGUUGUAAACUUCUUUUAUACGGGAAUAAAGUGCCCCACGCGUGGGGUUUUGCAUGUACCGUAUGAUAAGGAUCGGCUAACUCCGUGCCAGCAGCCG